AUGCUCGCUUCGGUAGCAUAUAUAGUAAAUUUGGAACGAUACAAAGAAGAUUAGCAUGGCCCCUGCACAAAGAUGACGUGCAAAAUCAUAAAGCGUUCCAUAUUUAA